ensembl:lncRNA
AUGAACACGAGGGGAGACAGAGAGCUGGUUUCAAACGCAGGGCGCAGCAGGUGUUUAUUGAAAAGGACCACAGGAGGAGGCAGAUAGCUGGGUCCAGGGACAGGCAGAAGGUCAUACACAGGAGGAGGCAGAUAGCUGGGUCCAGGGACAGGCAGAAGGUUAUACACAUGGGUCCAAAGGCAGGGAAAAGGCUAGUAACGUAAUCCGGGAGAUCAGGCAAAUAGGUAGAUAGGCUAAAGUACAGGUAGGGAAUAGGCAAAUGAUCAUACAUGGGAGGAGUAAAUCAGAGGAAAGACAGAGCUCUGAAAGACGUAUGUCACAAAACAAACAAUACCUCACAGUGAUGGGGGGCAAAGAACUGAACUAAAUAGGGUGUGACAAUGAUAUACAGUUGUGUGAACAGGUGAUUAGAAUUCAUGUGAUUGGGAUCUGGAGAGUGAGCUGCGUUCAGGGGAUCUAGGUGUUUGAGAGUGUGAGCUGGAAAGUGAGCUGCGUUCAGGGGAUCUAUGUGUUUGAGUGUCAUAUCAUCAGACCUACUCCUAUCGGCAACAUGUAUUAAAACACCAUGAAAACAAUACAUUUCUGGACGUGUGGUCCUCGGCCUCCCAAUGGGGCUGGGGCCAGGGCUAAAGCAGGGGCCAAGAUAGUGGAUGGAGAACACACGGACCCCCUGAGGACUUAUGUGCCAUCGCUGCCCUCCUGUUACCGCUGCUGGAGGCUCCCGGAUGGAUAACGCCAACCACUCCGCUUUCUCCCUCUGUCCCUAUCUCUCUGUUUCUCUCUCUUUCUUUCAUCAUCCUGGAAUUAAAGUGUGACUAUGUUAAUAACCUGUCAGGUCAGAUAAAGAUUGCUACUGGUGACACUGAAACCCGGUACUACCUGUGUCAGAAUAUUUGAUAUAUAUAUGGUUAAAUUGAAAAAGAUUUGUAAUAUUGAUUUUGCGCGUGACUUAAAUAUGUCCUUUGGAAUGGAACUUGAGGCAGAAGAUUUUUCUGACUCUGGGCAGGCGACAAAGAUUCUGUACAAACGCAAACGUCGGAGAAGCAUAACGGAGCCUUUACAUUUUAGCUCUGAAACUGAGAUCUUCAUAAGUACAGAGGGUGCAGAUCAGACAUUGAGUGUGAAAAACAACAUCAUAGACUCUUCUCAGCGUUCCAUCAUCUCAGAUUCUGAUAUUUUAGACAGACGCAAACGUAGGAAUAGCUUAGAUAUUCCACCAGAUUUUGUAACAUGCACACUGGAAAAUAUUCAGUAUGUAUACUUUGAAGUUUUAUGUUUUCUGCAUACUUUGAAGCUACAUAGUCACACUUUAAACCAGAUAUAUCUAUUAAAGCCUUCAUGACGCCAUCAUAAUGCCUUCAUAAUGUCCUACACUACAUACAUAGAAGCUUCACAUAUCAUUUGUAAGCAAAUGUCAUGCUGGAAAAAGGAGGUGUGCAGAUGCGGAAGCAGAGAUGUGCCGACAGAAGCGAACUUUCGAUGCAUAAUUCUGUUUAAACUAACCUAACGGAUGGCGCAGAAGCUGCAAAAUUAGGCUUUAGAGAGGUGGAAGGUUGCUUGAUCAGUAGCCGGAAGGUUGCUGAUUCAAUCCACGGACAGGGUAUAAAAACAGAACUGUGGGAACUGUUGGUCUAUGAUUCCAGGUACUCCCUCCUGCCGUUGUGCCCUUGAGCAUGGGACUUAAACCCCAAAACUGCUCCCCAUCCAGGGGUGCUGCUCUGUAGCUUAUCAACUUAGCUGAUCAAUGAUUUGUGCAGCGCCUAUGAAAUGUGAUGAAGCAGAUAAUGAGGCUAAACAACUAACAAUAUUCAGUUAAGUAAUGUACAUUUAGAAGGUUAUAAUAGGGUCAUACUCACAUUGCUCCUAUAAAUAUAUUUAGCAUUUCAUUAUCUUAUAUUCUGGCUUAGCUUUUUAAUGCAAUAAAAACUGUGACAAACUA